rnacentral:rRNA from 1 species
UAACCUGCCCAAGAGAUCGGGAUAACACCUGGAAACAGAUGCUAAUACCGGAUAACAACAGAUGAUGCCUAUCAACUGUUUAAAAGAUGGUUCUGCUAUCACUCUUGGAUGGACCUGCGGUGCAUUAGCUAGUUGGUAAGGUAACGGCUUACCAAGGCGAUGAUGCAUAGCCGAGUUGAGUGACUGAUCGGCCACAUUGGGACUGAGACACGGCCCAAACUCCUACGGGAGGCAGCAGUC